rnacentral:rRNA from 1 species
UACGUAGGGGGCAAGCGUUGUCCGGAUUUACUGGGCGUAAAGAGCGCGUAGGCGGAAGCUUAAGUGUGGCCUGAAAGCCCCCGGCUCAACCGGGGAAGGUGGCUGCAAACUGGGUUUCUUGAGGGCGAUAGGGGAGAGCGGAAUUCCUGGUGUAGCGGUGAAAUGCGUAGAGAUCAGGAGGAACACCGAUGGCGAAGGCGGCAUCCUGGACCGACAUUGACGCUGAGGCGCGAAAGCCAGGGGAGCAAACGGG